GGCCUGGGGGUGCCCUCAGGGCCCUGACAAAAGGUUAAAUAAACAAAGUUAAAAAAAAGCAAAAGCCACGGCCAACAUGCCCUAAAUAUGCGGUAAAAUAUUCACGGAACUUACAGUAGAAGGGCUGAAGAGAAUACUGAGGCCAAAGGACAUCAUCAUGCUGUGCAAUUUAGCCAAAGGUGUUAUCAUGAACCUGCUGAAUUUACAUGUGUUUUGUUUACACUGCAGAAGAGGCAUAAUUUACCAACCAGACUGAAGGAAUUAAGGCAGC
rnacentral:lncRNA from 1 species